CAGAGGCCAGAUCUGUUCUCAAAUACCACGCGCUGGAGGAGGUAGAAUACCCUGUGGGUCUUUGACUGGCUCAGGUGGCUUAGAGAAGGGCAAAACAGUAGCUUUAUAGACGACAGAAAUCACUUGGAGAAGGAACAGACUCUUGAGUGGAGAUCAUUACAGAAACUCACAAAACUGAGGACAAAAUCACGGAACACCAGGGAGCCGGGCUGGCCAUACUGUGCUUUGAGCAGCCUGUGGUAAACAUCUGGUUGGAGCCUAGCUUUUUUUUGUCUGCAGAGCUGGUUAGAAAGCCAGCUGCCAUGUGGUGAGCUGCCUAUGGAGAAACACACAUCUCAGCACACCAGCCCUCGAGGAAUCAAACCCUGGCAACAACCGGGUGAGUCAGUUUGGAAUCAGAUUCUCUCCCACUGAGUCUUCACAGAAGACCCCAGCCUCAGCCGACACCGGGACCACAACCUUAUGAGAGACCAUGCGCCAGAGGCACCAAGCUAAGCAGCACCCAGAUUCCUGACCCACAGAACCUGCUCCUUUGUGCCAUGCCCUCAGGGCUUCUCCUUUCCACCUUAAAUGGCCUAAAAAGAAUAAAGGAAGUUUGUAACCCAAGAG